ACCAAAAUAGCUCAGUUGGGAGGGCGUUAGACUAUAGAUUGAAAGUCCCUGGUUCGAUCCCUGGUUUUGGCA
rnacentral:tRNA from 1 species